rnacentral:sRNA from 1 species
GUUCAGGGUAUCGGGGAGUAGCGAUCAUCAGCGAUGAUGAGAGCACGUCAACAUAUUCGCGGCUCAUCCGCGUGGCGUGCUCGGUCCAAAGAGACUUUGCGAGACCGUGGCGUGGGGAUCCUGCGGGCGGGGUCCGUGCAUCGCCCGGUUCAGCCCUGAGGAUC